rnacentral:lncRNA from 1 species
AACAAGGAGCCAUGGGCGGGCAGUGGCCGCGUUUCCACACCCCACCGGGGCUGAGUCUCGCAGCAGGAUCCCUCUCUCCUCUUGAAAGUGGAAUACCCUUUAGGGUACAGUUUUCAGGGUUACAGUUACACAGAGGACUAUGGAUGGAAAGUUGCCUCUCAAGAGAUACCAACUGGCCAGUUUCCAAAGUUUAGGGAAACCAAGGACAGUCUUCACAUUGUUUCUCCACUGAUAUUCACCAUGCAGAAGCAGACCUGGAAAAGGAGUUUGGGGUAUCAAGGAUCACCACCCAUGAAGGGAAAAGGGAGGAAGAAGAUUAAGGAGAGGAAGAAUACAGACCCCCCCCAAAAGCCUUGGCCACUCUGUAAGGGAAUUCUAGAAUAUGUGUUGCCCAUUAGUGUCCCCUGUCAAGCAGAAAUGGCCAGGACU